CAUUUGUGUUGCCUCAUGUAUGAGGUACCCAUCACUUAUAAUUUAUGUCACAUCAAUUUGGAAAUUCAACAUGGCAGGAUCUAAAUAACAUUUCCAGUUGGAGUUCUCGUCGCUGUAUUUCGUCACAAGCAGGUUUCUUAACUUGAUUGGGGGCAGUUCACCAGGCGUCGGCAACAAAAAUUGCUACUUAUAUGGAGUAAAAAUGCACGCAGCUGCACUAGUGUAGUCGGUCGCCUGGGAUGAAGAAAAAAAAAUAAAUUGCAGAUGUCUACGCUCGGGAGGAGAACAACACAAAACCUACAUCGCUUCAUAUAGCGGAAUAAUGCACAAUUAAGGAUACGUAACUCCACCUUGUACAUUCCCUAUUUAAUAAUAUUGUUUUGUUUGUUUUCAGUUCCAUAAAAGUGUGAAGUUCAGUACAACCGAAAUGGAAAAAGGAUCGGUUGCCUAGUUCAUCAAUUAAAGGAGAUAAUCAUCAACAAAAAGGUUAUGGACUACCAACAAAAUAUGAACAGGAUAAUACUAACUUAAUACAGUUCAGUGUUGUGGGAAAAACCCACGGUUCAAGCCGGGCAUUAGAAGAUAUGCAGUUUGUGCUUUAAAAAAAACUAUUGACGCAGCUCAAGUUAAGAUUGUACUCAUUGCUGGAAAUUAAUGGGUUCUAUUCAGAUAAUAACCAUUAUGGUUACGAACCAUCUUUACUAUGGAUCAACAAAUUUUCUCCACAGACUAUAAUACUCCAGUCAAAGCGUCAUUUGACCUUGCGAUGAGAGGCAUUGUCUGUUUUUAUUUCAUGGAUCGAUGGGGGUAUAUUUAAAAGGCUUAAACCCAAUUUCUCACCACCUGAUCAUUCUUUUUAGCGGAGUUAUUCACAAAAAUGCAUUUUUUGGGAUAUUUUACUUCUAAGCUAAUAUCUUUGCUCUAGAUUAUCGUAGACCAAAAAAUAAACAAAAAUUCUCUUCCUUAUAAUA